AUGGAAGCGCUGCUGCUGCUGGGCGCGCUGCUGCUGCUGCUGCUGGGAGCGCUGCCGCCGGCGGUACCAGUGCCGCCGGCCCCGCGCGAGCUGGCCCGAGCCGUGCUGGAGGCGCACGGGCAGGAUGCGGGCACCGGGCUGAAGCUGCUCAAGCUCCAGGGAGUCACCAGGACGGUAGGAGCGUGCUCGGCCGCGGAGAGGUUUUCCCCAAGGGGAGGCUUCGCGCCACGCCGACGCCGUCCUUUUUUCCUCUUUUUCCCCCCUGCAGAAGUUCGACUGGGGCACGCACUUCACCAUCAACCUCACCGCCCGCGAGACGGCCUGCCCCAAAAACCCCGCUGCGCCGCGACACGCUGGCUGCAAAGCCCGGCCGGGCCAGGUCCAGCACUGCGUGGCCCAAAUCUCCGUCUUCGCCUUCCUGCCCGACGUGCCGCUGUCGAUGGUGGAGUGCGGCCGGCAGCCGCCCAGUGGCUCGGGGCAGCCCCGCUCCAAAGGUCGGCGCAGCCCAGGGACCCCGCGAGCCUUCGGCCUCAGGGACCCGGCACCAUCCUGAAUCCCUGCAAGCGCAUCUUUCCUGCGGGAGAGGACCCCCAGACCCCAUCCCCCAGACCCCAUCCCGCAUGGAGCUGAAAUAAAGCUGUUCUGGGGCCGUGAGUGUGUGUGUGU
rnacentral:lncRNA from 1 species